rnacentral:rRNA from 1 species
CGUGUAGGCGGGGAUGUAAGUCAGAUGUGAAAUACCCGGGCUUAACUUGGGUGCUGCAUCUGAAACUAUGUUUCUUGAGUGCCGGAGAGGAAAGCGGAAUUCCCAGUGUAGCGGUGAAAUGCGUAGAUAUUGGGAGGAACACCGGUGGCGAAGGCGGCUUUCUGGACGGUAACUGACGCUGAGGCGCGAAAGCGUGGGGAGCAAACAGGAUUAGAUACCCUGGUAGUCCACGCUGUAAACGAUGGAUACUAGGUGUAGGAGGUAUCGACCCCUUCUGUGCCGCAGUUAACACAAUAAGUAUCCCACCUGGGGAGUACGGCCGCAAGGUUGAA